rnacentral:rRNA from 1 species
UAUGUGAUCGUCUCUCGCAUAUCAAUAAGCGGAGGAAAAGAAACUAACAAGGAUUCCCCUAGUAACGGGGAGUGAAGCGGGAAGAGCUCAAAUUUGAAAUCUUAAAGGGUUUCCCUUUACGAAUUGUAGUUUAAAGAAGUGUUUUCUGUUGAGGUUUUGGUAAAAGUUCUUUGGAAUAGGACAUCAUAGAGGGUGAGAAUCCCGUAUUUGACCUUUACUUUCAACUUUGUGAUACACUUUCAAAGAGUCGGAUUGUUUGGGAAUGCAGUCCAAAAUGGGUGGUAAAUUUCAUCUAAAGCUAAAUAUUGGCGAGAGACCGAUAGCGAACAAGUACCGUGAGGGAAAGAUGAAAAGAACUUUGAAAAGAGAGUUAAACAGUACGUGAAAUUGUCAAAAGGGAAGCGUUUGACACCAGUGUUGUUUUUCUGAAAAUCAAUUAAAGAACUGUUUAUGCUAAGUUGUUUAGACUUUAUCAGCUAACUGUUUAGUUUUGAGCUUUUCUUUAAUGCACUUUUCAGUUAACAAGUCAACAUCAAUUUCUUUUGCUGUAAAAAAGCUUGAGGAAGGUGGCUUGAGAUUCGUCUUAAGUGUUUAUAGCCUCUUGCCUAUGCAGUCGGAGAGAUUGAGGUCUGCAGCGUAGAUCCUUCGGGGCUAAAUGCAUUUGUGCUAAGUUAUAGCAUUUUAUAGACAACUUGUUAACUAUGAUUUGUCUUGUAGCUUACUCGCUUAUGUUAUUUUACCUACGCUUAGGAUGUUGAAGACUCUACAGAGAUA